CCACCUUCCCAAAAACUCCCCAGCAGACCUGGAGCGAAAAUUGCCUUGAAUUAGCUUCAGACCUAUAGUGUCGUUGAUAGUUUAGGGACAUGUUUUAUCCGGUAUUGGAGUUGAGGGAUGAAAAUUGGAC
rnacentral:miRNA from 2 species